AAUCUUAAUUUCUGUUGAGCGCCUACAUUUAUGCUCACGAUUCUAUGUCCUGUGCCUUGUGUUAUUGUUUUUGUAUGAUAGCGAAUAAUGAAAUAAAUAAGGUUUUGGCAAGGAAAUACCCUUUCCUAAAGGAUAGAAGGCGAGUCAGACAGGCCUCCCUAUUUUAGCCCCUCGACGAUUCCAGCUAGCAGCCAGCUAGACGACGCUUCGUCUGAAGUGGACGGGAAGUUUUAAUAGAAGCGGCGUGGAUCACGGCCUUCACCACAGCGCAUUAAAACAGCGGGUAUACUGUGUUGAUUGUGGACGAUUCAGCACCUCGGAAUUCUUGGAUCAUAGGAAGAAUCGUGGAGGUUGUGGACAACAAAGGCUUUGUGAGACGAGUCAAGAUCAAGACUCGGACUAGCUGUUUAGACAGGCCUGUCACAAAGAUUUGUCGUCUUUAAGAAGUUGAGGCGGCUUGACUCGAGUCAGUUUCUGUUGCUCGCCUGCAUUAGGUUAUGCUCGCGAUCCUGUGUCCUGUGCCUUGUUUUAUUUUUGUAAGAUAGUGAAUAAUGAAAUAAAUAAGGCUUUGGCAAGGCAAUGCGGACUGACUUUCCUAAAGGAUAGAAGGCGAGUCAGACAGGCCUCCCUAUUUUAGCCCCUCGGUGAUUCCUUAUAAAAAUCGCCCAAACACUAGGCGUAACGCACCUGUUUGCAGAGGCUGUUUAUAAGAGUCUCCUGGUCCUUAUCUUGACUGCGCAGUCGGCCCGGUGUGCUGUGCCCCUCCACAGGCAGCGGUGCUGUCUCCCUCUCUGGGCUCUGGGGUACCUGGGUUGAGCAGCUUCCCAAACAGGGGUGCCUGAAAUCUGCAGACAUGCUUACAUUGUACAGGCGUACUGGGACAUGGGAGGCAGGGAGCUGAGAUAAUCUCAGGAAACAUGGAAACACACAUACAGGAGCGAAUUAGGGGCGGGGCCCCAGCCACAGCUGAAAUCUGAUUGGCCCCCAGAGUGACCUUUCCUCUGUCACUCAUAACAUAUGAUUGGCUAAUGAUAAGGUUGGCCCCUCUGAGUUAUGGCUCCUCUUAUGUUUCUCACUUUAAAAUAAUCACAGAAUUACCCCAGCAAACAUACACCCAUGAGCAGGCCCGGAAGGCCAUGCAAACAUAGCAAGGUCAGAAAAACGUGAUCACAAUGCAACCAUAUCCAAGGCACAACCUCUGAUGGCAGACCAUCCAAGGAAUUGCUGAGCUUACUUCUGAGUUUAUAUAAUAAACUAUCCAUCUACCCAU